rnacentral:rRNA from 1 species
AUACGGAGGGUGCAAGCGUUAAUCGGAAUUACUGGGCGUAAAGCGCGCGUAGGCGGAUUGUUAAGUCUCAUGUGAAAGCCCUGGGCUCAACCUGGGAACUGCAUGGGAUACUGGCAAUCUAGAAUACAGUAGAGGGUAGUGGAAUUUCAGGUGUAGCGGUGAAAUGCGUAGAGAUCUGAAGGAACAUCAGUGGCGAAGGCGACUACCUGGACUGAUAUUGACGCUGAGGUGCGAAAGCGUGGGGAGCGAACAGAAUUAGAAACCCCGGUAGUCC